rnacentral:lncRNA from 1 species
CCCAUCCGAUCUAAAGAGAACCGGGCAUUCGACUUUGUUGAGACGAAGUUCUCCUCCCGCUUCCGACACGGUUUGUUUUGACUGUCCUGUCGAUAUAGGCUUGUGCCAAGGGAGGAGACAUAUAGAUAUGCAACUUUUAUUUAAAAUAAAGUUAUCGGUAAUACAUUCAUAGGUUUUUCACGCUCCAUGGUCGCGGGAGGUCUGCUCCUCCGAGCUCCUUGAGGUAAUAAGUUCCGGGCCGAUCCUUGAUAAAAUCUGAUUUUAUAUCAUGCAUGUGAUAUUUAUGAUCUGAUUUAGAUAUAAUCUAAGAUUAUAAUAAGGACUGAUAUAAUUUAGAUUAGAUCUAAAUUCAUGCAUAUAUGAUAUGUGAUU